rnacentral:rRNA from 1 species
CAGACGUACUUACGGGUAAUCAGCCUUUUGGGUGUGAUUUUGUGGAUUGUGAGGAGUUUAAUCACCCUCAUGUUUUACGUAUUCGUGCUCUUGGGUGUACUUGCCCGUGUGUAAGUUAACAUCAAUUUUUGGUGGUCAUAAAAUGGCUGGAGGAAUGUAGCUUCGAUCUCGUAUCGAAGUGUUAUAGACUCUGGUAGAUGUGACGAUUGGGGAUUGGAGGAUUGCAACGGG